GAUAAUCAUCGCAUAAGCUCCGAAACCAUCCCAAAAAUAAAAUCUAUGAUAACAGAUAUUAUAACUGUCCCAAUAGAUAUCUACGGUAACAGAUAUAAAGUCAUCCCAUAUUUUAUAUCAGCUAAAAUAUGAAAUUACGCGAGAAUUUUUGCUCCAACACUGAUUUUACCCGCCUUUUUUAGUAAUUUUUAUUUUUAAAAAAUUAAAAUAAGUUUUCUCUCAGACUCAAUUUAGGACAAGUCAAAUUGUCGGUCUAGGGUUAGGAAACCCCAAUUUUUUCUCUCUCAGCGCCAUUUUUCUUCUCUCCAGCGCCGACAACCAUUUUUCUCGUUCAAUACUCGACAACACCUGGCCGGAGAUAUAUAACAGCCUCAGAACAUGGUCGGAGAUUGAAAAAAUGAUGGCCUCUUCUGUGAUUUUAGUGAUAAGUGAUAAAUUUUAGUAGGUCUAUGGCAAGAUUUCAGUGGGUCUUCUUCUCUGGUGUUCUUUUGCGAUUUUACUUCUCCGAAAAAGGUCUUCUUCUCAGGUGCCACUAAGCGAUAUUGGUGCCUUACAAAUUUUGGGUAGAGUCAUGUGGAUCAAAUAACACAACUACUGAGUUCUAGGAGUUUGGGGGGAAAAGGCUGCAAAGACUCAUAUUCAACUACGAGUCUUCAGAUCAUCAACAUAGUGACUAGAGUGUGACAUCACAGGAACUUGAAAGAUGGGAAGCCAUUGGGGAGAUUCUUAAACUGAAUCCCAGUUACAAGCCACAGUCUGGUUAUACGCCUAUACCAAAGGAGGCAAAAAUCCUGGUACCUGUUUGGAUAAAAGUGAAUCAACAAAGGCCUUCAAAAAAUAACAAAAGAGCAAACAACAAGGAAUUUACUAAACCUGGAUCGUUAUUAGCCAUGACAAAUAGAACAUGAAGAUUAUUGACAACAAAUGAAAUAUUUAAAGCUAUACGAUCGGAGAAAGAGAAUUUUCUUGAAUUAAUUGGAAAACAACAACCACCAGUACAACAACCAGCAUCUCAAGAAGUUGAACAAUCUAUAGUGGAGUAUCAUGUUGGAGAGGAGCAACAUGCAGAUGAUGUGCAACAUGUAGAGGAUCAAGUUCAAAUGGCUGAUUCAUCCACUUCGAUAAUAGCUGAACAUUCAGAAGAACAAGGUAACAUAUAACUUAGAAACUUAUUGAAUUCAUUCGUGACUUCUAAUUUUUUUCUAUUUUCUUAUAGUUGAAAGGCCUCCCACUAGAAAAACAAAAGUCAAAACACAAAUGUACAAGGUAUAUAGUCGACAAGAGAAAAAACCGCUCAGACUAAAUCGGCAAAAUCAACCCGUUGGUCCUAGUAAUGAACUUGUAAUUGAGUUAGUCAGCUUGGCACAUUGGCGAAGAAUGCGAUCCUUUGCCCAUUGGAUAUAUUUGAUUGGAGGCUGAUGGAUACUAAAAAGGAUUUAUGGGAUUAUACUCGGGUUUCUAAACUCACUGUGAUCUCCAGUGCUUUGUUUCCUUUUAUUCUGUCCUUCGAGUGUGGCAGGACCUCUCAAAUUUGAAGGGGAUUGGUAUUGGUAAGAAAAUCAAAGGCUUAUAUAUUUUAAAGAAAUAUGUGGAACCAGUUAAUAUAUUGACUGUUACAAAUGGGGUCAUAAUAUAUAGAACAUUUUUAACCAGUUAAUAUAUGGAACAAUAGUAGUACAAAUCCUUUUUUGGUGCAGAUUUUUUUUUUGUUGUUGUCCUACCUGAAUGACACCAACUUCUUGUCAAAAUAUCAUAUUCCUGAUGCUGCCGCAGAAGGCUGGGUUUUGGAAAGACUUCGAGAAUCUUGGAGAAAGCAUAGAGUUGAUUUGAAGGAAGGACAUUACGAUCCAUAUGACAAUGAUGAAGUUUGAAUGGCGAAAAGGCCGGAAAGUGUUUCAAAAUGUCAAUUUAAAGAGUUUCUCAUAUAUUGGAAGUCUGAAAAAUUUCAGAAAAUGUGCAAAACAAAUACUGAGAAUCGAAAGAAGCUGAGGCAAAAAGAGUGUUGCUUUUAUUCGCAAUAAAUUGAAGGGGAAACUUUGUCGCUGAAGGAUAUGUUUGCGGUCACAAGAGCAAGAAAACCUGGUCGUACAUACAAGACGUCAAAUGAAAGCACCACUAGUAAAAUUUCAUGGGUCCUGAACAUCCUGAAUGUGUAGGAUUGUAUGGAGUUGUGGUUACAAAGACUUUCUUGAAAAGAAUAAAUGGAACUUCUGAACCAACUUUAAAGGCCA